rnacentral:tRNA from 1 species
CCCUGGUUAGCUCAGUGGUUGAGCAUCUGCCUGUGGCUCAGAACAUGAUCCCAGGGUCCUGGGAUCAAGUCCUACAUCAGGCU